rnacentral:miRNA from 1 species
UUAAUCGCUACACAGUGUUUCACGCUUUCAAAGCGAUCUUCAGGCGAUAUAUGUAUCGCCUGAAGAUCGCUUUGAAAGCGUGAAACACUGUGUAGCGAU